rnacentral:rRNA from 1 species
UGAGGAAUAUUGGUCAAUGGUCGGAAGACUGAACCAGCCAUGCCGCGUGCAGGAAGACGGCCCUAUGGGUUGUAAACUGCUUUUGUAAGGGAGCAAUAAGUCGUUUGCGAACGGUGAUGAGAGUACCUUACGAAUAAGCAUCGGCUAACUCCGUGCCAGCAGCCGCGGUAAUACGGAGGAUGCGAGCGUUAUCCGGAUUUAUUGGGUUUAAAGGGUGCGUAGGCGGGCAAAUAAGUCAGUGGUGAAAUAUCCAGGCUCAACCUGGGGGCUGCCAUUGAUACUGUUAGUCUAGAGAAUAAAUGGAGUAGGCGGAAUAUGUCAUGUAGCGGUGAAAUGCAUAGAUAUGACAUAGAACACCGAUCGCGAAGGCAGCUUACUAAGAUAUUUCUGACGCUGAUGCACGAAAGCGUGGGGAUCAAACA